rnacentral:miRNA from 1 species
GGUAGAGUACCAAUGGCCCUAACUGAAGACCGGCAGUUAGUUAUACUGUAGCUGUCGGUUUCAAGCAGAGGCCUAAAGGACUGUCUUCCU